ACUCCUACGGGAGGCAGCAGUGGGAAUUUUUGUCAAUGGGGGAAACCCUGAACAAGCAACGCCGCGUGAAGGACGAAGACCUUCGGGUUGUAAACUUCUGUCGGAGGGACGAAAGCAGAGCUGGCCAAUACCCAGCCUUGUUGACGGUACCCUAUGAGGAAGCCCCGGCUAACUCCGUGCCAGCAGCCGCGGUAAUACGGGGGGGCAAGGCGUUGUUCGGAAUUACUGGGCGUAAAGGGAGCGCGUAGGCGGGCGGAUAAGUCUCUCGUGAAAGCCCACGGCUCAACCGUGGAAUUGCGGGAGAUACUAUUCGUCUUGAGUUCGGGAGAGGUGUGUGAAUUCCCAGUGUAGCGGUGAAAUGCGUAGAUAUUGGGAGGAACACCGGUGGCGAAGGCGACACACUGGACCGAUACUGACGCUGAGGCGCGAAAGCCAGGGGGAGCAAACGGGA
rnacentral:rRNA from 1 species